UAUGAAAUAACAGGUACACAAAGUGCACAAUGGUGAAACUAGAAGUACACGGCUUGCAUUUUACUCUUCGUUUUAUUUGGUUGGAUACACUAGGUAUGUUUGGUUUUAUUUAAUUACAGAAGAAUACUAAAUACAGGAAAACUUCACAACCAUGCAUUACAGUAAAAAAAAGUUAGCUACACAUGUACACACACAUGCAGGAAUGGUAAAAGAGGCAGCAGUUACCUCAUCUUGUUGCAAUUGGUCAUUGAUACUAAAAAUCUCCUGAGACAACUCAGCCUCUCUCUAUUCAUUUUUCGAAACAAAAAUCAUUAUUUUCAAUCAUCUUUACAUUCAUAUCAUCAUUACACUCCAACCCAUUAUUUUUCUUUACCUCCUCUCCAUCUUUCACAAUUUCUUGGUCACAACAACUAGCCCCAACACAAUUCUCCACCUUUUCUUCAUCUUGUUGGCAAGAAUUCAAAGAACCCACCUCAGGCUUGUUAACAGGACUCGAUUUGGCAUCAGUAUCUGGCCUAUUUCGAGGCACCCACUUGGAUUUUGGGGAUGAAAGAGUGAAUUUUUGGUUGUUGAUGGUGGUGAUAGUUUUGGUGACAAGUACAAGGUGUAGACGAUAAAGAUGAGGAUUUAAUGAUCUGAUUUUUGAUGGUUUUUCUGGGGGGAGUAGACAUAUUAAUGGCCGCCGUGAUGAAUUGAUGAUCGAACAACAAACACAGAAACAAGAGCUAAAUAUAUACUGACUUCAAAAAAAAAAAAAAAAAAAAA
rnacentral:lncRNA from 1 species